AAACCGCGCGGCGAGGCCGCCGACGCCGCUACCCGCCGCUGCUGCUGCUGCAGCCUCCCAACGCGAGCCAAGCCUCGCUGUUCAGCCUCUCGGAGGCCGGGCGUGGGUGUGAAGGAGGAGGUGGGGUGCUUGGGUGUUGUUUCCCUGCCUCACCCGCCGCGGGCGUCGCCGGAUAAAAAGGCCUUAUGUGAAAAGAGACGCGCUUGAGGCAGUCUAUCUAAGGAGCGUCGCGCGCAUCCAGCUUCCUGAGGGGGUUGCUGCAUUAGUUCAGCGUCGCAAGUGGAGCCAGGGCCGGCAAGGUGAGGCGACUGCCUCAGGUAGCGGGAUCCACCCGAGCAGCAGAUCCCCAUGUCGAUCUGUCUCUCUCCACUACCACCCUGCCUUGUUUCUGAUGUAGAUAUUCCCGUACUCCAGAGCAUGUGCGUAACUGGGGGGGGUCAACUGCCCCCCCAAAGCAAUACAAAUCUGAGGUUCUGACCCCCAUAAAAAAGCCUCCCCCCCAAAAAAUCCUGGCUGCACCCAUGGGCUCCACCGGGUAGCACAACCGGUUUGGCUGUACUGGGUGCCAGAGAGGAUCUACAACAAUGAUGUAGAGCAGAGCGCCAGAGGUGGGUGGGUGGGUGCCAAAUUUUAGUGCCACACAGGGUGCUGUUGAAAUUUGAGAGCCCAAAGUUUGCUACUGCUCAGUCUUCCUGGGUGGGGAGAAGAGCGCCAUUUCGAGGUCUGCCUCAGGUGCCAAAAUGUCUUGGGCCGACCCUGAGCGGAGCAAGGGCACUUGUGGCAACCGCAAAGCAGUGGCGGGUCUUGAUGUGUUAGAUUUCAGUGGCACCCUAUGCCUCUCAUGCUCCAUUGUAAAUCAUAGCCCACAAGGCUUUGCACCAAGUGCAACCAAACCGGUCACAGCCCCCUAAAUUUGCCUCUGCAUGAAGACUUAACAGAUUUCUUACACCAUAUGUUUUGGUGGUGUAGUGGUUAGAGUGUCGCACUAGGACCUGGGAGAACUUGGCCUUAUAUCACCACUCGGCUUUGAAGCUCACUGGGUGACGUUGGGCCAACCAUUGCUUUCCAGCCUCACCUACCUCAUAGGGUUGUUGUGGGAAUUACGUGAUCAUUCGGGAGAACCAUGUACGUGAGCUGCCUGGAGAAAAGGGCAGGAUAUAAAUGCAAUAAAUAAAUAAGUCUUCAAGUGCAUGAAAUGUUAUCCUGAGCUACAGGAACAUAUACAGGGGUGCAGAAAUUGUACAUUCAGAUACAUAUAUGCCUUCAUAUUACUUUCAAAUACAGUGGACGCUUGGGUUGCGAAUGUGAUCCAUGUGGGAUGCACGUUUGCAACCCACAGCGUUUGCAACCCGUGUCUGCGCACGCGCGGGUUGCGAUUUGGCGUUUCUGCGCAUGCGCUACCGCCGAAACCCGGAAGUAACCCGUUCUGGUACUUCUGGGUUUUGGCGGUCCGUAACCUAAAAAGACGCAACCUGAAGCGUCUGUAACCCGAGGUAUGACUGUAUAGACUUACACCAUGGCUUAUUCAGAAGUAAGUCCUAUGGAACUCAAUGGCACUAACUCCCAGAUAAGUAGGGUUAGGGUUGCGGCCCAAGAAAUUCAAUAGGACUAAAAUCAGUCAUGAUGUAAAUUUGUUACAACUAACUUUAAUCCCAUUUAAGAUCUGGGUUACAAGCCAGUCUUUAUUUAGGGCAGAGCCGUUGCUGCUUCAUCCCAGAAUCCUUGCUGUGUAAAAUGAAAAAUUGAUGACCAAUUUAAAUCCCAUCUAAUUCAAUGUAAGCUUCUAUAACAUGAGAGAAAUGUGCCAGAGGCUGUACAAAGAUGGUGGGUUGGUGUUUGUCCUCUGUGGUCUUUUGUUAGUGUCAUUAAUCUGCACGGCACUGUACAAGUAUAGGUGCAUUUCCUGGGAUUCACAACCUUAUUUCAUUAAAUUCAAUGCAGAACUGAAUACCUAAAUAGUGGAAAGGUGGAAUAUAAGCCUUUAUUUACACAAAGCAAGAGUGGGUGUUUGAGUGCUGUUUACAAUUAAGGCAAAGUUAAUCUAUGUUAUAUUAUACAAGUAGGCAGUACUUAUAUUAAGGGGGGGAAAUUGCCAGAUUUACUCCACCGUUAUUUGGAAGAAUCCCAACAACCAGCAGGUGCUGGGGUCUACCAGAAACUAACAACAAGCUACCUUCUGCCAACGUUUGGUUGCUGCUGAACCUAUUUUUUGCCCACCUUGUCAUCAGAAUGUAUGACUGAUACCUGGAGGGUUUAAAAUGAAUUUAUGUUAGCUCAACAAAAUUGACGGAGGGGAUUUCAAUCAUAUAUAUAAGAAUUGUUGAGAAUACUUAUUUUUCUUUUUAGAGGCUGGUGUGCUUUUUAAUGUUAUCAUGCUAUUUGUGUGUUUUGCAUGUUUUAGAUUUGUUCUAUGGCUCAUAGAGACUGUCAGUAUUAGACAACUAACAAAUUAAUAAAGAAUAAUAAUGAGCCACCCUAGAGGUAGAUAAGUUAACAUUUCUAUGACUUGUAAGACAAAUUGCAGACUGAAAAUGUUAUCCCUGUGCCCAUUUUCCUGUGCCACUUAAUUCCAAUUAGCAGGCUGCUUAGUCACGAAAGUGUUCCAGUGUUAGAAUUAAAGGGGUGGCUUCAGGUCAAGAAGAGUGUAAGUUGGCAGAGAUACAGAGAUAUUCAGAUGAAGCAGGUACUCAGUGUGCCAGUACUAUGGCUGGCUGUAGUUAAUGCUUCCUAUCAGCUCAUUUUCAUUGUUACCUUUUUAAAAAUCCAGAUUCUCUUUAAUCUGUUUUUUUUUCCUUAUUUUGAAUAUGUCUCGUUUUCUCUGUCUUUUCCUCUGUCUUCUGAAAACUCAUUUCUGGACCAGUUUUCAUUAGUAUAUAUAUAUUUGUACUAAACAUUUAUAGCCCAUUAUAAAAGAACAGUGAGGCGUACAACAAUUAAUACACAUAAAAAGAUUGAAGACAAUGCAUAAUAAAAUGAAAUUCACAAUUUAUUAUGUCAAGGUCAAAUAACAUUUUACUUCAUCAGGAUAUUAAAAAUGUUUUAGCUUGACUCCAAAAAGCAAGCAAUGGAAGCUUCUAUAACAAGAGAGCUCCACAGAACUUGAACUGCGUUGUCUACACUUCAUUUAUGUUGUCUUUCACCUGUAGAAAGCCCAAAAGAGCAAAAGUUUUAGGAUGAAUAUGUAAUGGCAUUACCAUGACAGUAGCAGGGCUAUCAGAAGGAGCCAUAGCACCAUUAUAAGAAUAAAUAGGAAUGAAGGUGCUGAGCUAAGUACAGUUCUGUACAGUGGUACCUCAGGUUACAUACGCUUCAGGUUACAGACUCCGUUAACCCAGAAAUAUUGCUUCAGGUUAAGAACUUUGCUUCAGGAUGAGAGCAGAAAUUGUGCUCCGGCAGCGCAGCAGCAGCAGGAGGCCCCAUUAGCUAAAGUGGUGCUUCAGGUUAAGAACAGUCUCAGGUUAGGUACGGACCUCUGGAACGAAUUAAGUAUUUAACCCGAGGUACCACUAUAUUCACUUAUUAAAGCUCAGGAUGUUGACUGAUUCCCCCCCUCCCCCAUGCUUGGUGGCUGCUUACUCAUAGCUUGUUUUGCAUCAAAUGCCCUCCAGCAACAUUCUUCUUCAAGUCUCUUAUUAGAUUUCCUUACCAUCCCUUCCCUUUUGCUUCUCCCUUUCAUUUUGUCAUUUCUUUAUUCUUUCUGCACUUUUACUCCUAUGUACACCAAACAUUUGAAAGUGAAAGUGGUCCCAACACACAUUCUCUGCAUUUUAGUGAUUUGUGUUCAAACCUCUCUUCCAACAUUUAAAAUCAUAUGUUUGUCUUCACCUGUAUUUUAUAUUCACCUGACAGACACAACAAACUAAUAAAGCAGAAAAAGACAGUAAUAAUAAACCAAAUUUGGGAGCUAAUUUGUUGGUCCUUUUGCGUGCUCUCUCUCACACACACACACAUUCACAGCUGAAUUAAAAAUAAAGGGUAAAGGGACCCCUCUCCGUUAGGUCCAGUCGCGGAAGACUCUGGGGUUGCGGCGCUCAUCUCGCUUUACUGGCCGAGGGAGCCGGCGUACAGCUUCCGGGUCAUGUGGCCAGCAUGACAAAGCCACUUCUGGCGAACCAGGGCAGUGCACGGAAACGCUGUUUACCUUCCCGCCGAAGCGGUCCCUAUUUAUCUACUUGCACUUUGACAUGCUUUCGAACUGCUAGGUUGACAGGAGCUGGGACCGAGCAACCCUGUCGCAGGGAUUCGAACCACUGACCUUCUGAUCAGCAAGCCCUAGGCUCUGUGGUUUACACCACAGCGCCAAAUUGAUAUAAAAUAGUGGUUAAUGGGAAUGUUAACAAUCCCAUUCAUUAUAUAGUUAUUUCAUUAAGUUUAUACAUUGCUUUGUUGUAAAACAAAAAAUACCACAAUAAACACCCUCAGUUUACAAAAAAGAUUCAUUAGUAAUAGUAGCAAAUACUGAUAAAGAUACUCAGUGUUCAAGCAAAAGUCUGUGAUUUUCUUCUUAGGGAUUUUCUUAAUCCAUCAGAUGAAGGGCAUGUUGAGAUAAUUAUAAAGCAGUAUGAUGACCUUAAUUGAUUUAAGAACUAUGUUUACAUCUUUGCAAAAUUUUGGCACCAAUACCAUAUGCUUUCUGUUCCAAUGAAGGUAAUAUCUACCUUAAUUAGUAUAUCAUGCAAAAUGUUUCUCAUUUGAUGGAUUUGCAUCUUUUGUUGACACAAAAGGAACCUAUCACUCACUACCUGAAGGCUAACUACAUUUUAAAUGGCAUAUGUGUCUGCUAGGUUUACACAGAUAACUGGUUGACACUUCUAGUCUACAUAGCAAUCGGCAUUUCCGUGCACUCUGACUUCCGUCACAGUGUUCCACUGCGCCAGAAGCGGUUUAGUCAUGCUGGCCACAUGACCUGGAAAGCUGUCUGUGGACAAACACCAGCUCCCCUGGCCUGAAGCGUGAUAAGCACUGCACCCCAGAGUCAGUCGCCUUUGACUGGAUUUAACUGUCCAGGGGUCCUUUACCUUUACCUUUACCUUACAAAGCAAUAAAUAUGAACUUGAUAUAUUCAGUUAGAAAAGUAAGAACUGGUCAGAAAUAUAGAUGCUAGUCAUAAUCCUGGCUUGGAUUAGCUAGACUGAGAGCCUGUGGAGCAGUUCCUGCUGGAGCAUGAAUCAUCUCACUCCAGAGACCUGGUAGAAAGCAACAGAUGUAAGAUCUCAGAAGUCAGAAUUCAAACAGCAGGUUGAGGUUGAGUCUUUCAGGACCUGGGAGAGCUCCCAGCAAAUUUAGCAACCAAGACAGGUUGCUUAGACAAUAAUCUGAAUUUAACUGAGAGCAAAGGCUACUGAGGCAGAUGUCAGGCCUGCAGGAUCCAUUUUGUUUUUUUACUAGAUCCUAAGGACCACCAACUAGAGCCAGGUGCAAAAUCAUAUCUCAGGAUGUAGAUAUACACAGAAGUUAGGAACAGGCUGCUUCUGAGCACAGACUUAGCCCAAUAAUUUGCUUUAAGUCCCGGGUUGGAGCUCAGUUUUCUCAUGUUAGCUCCUGACUCAUACCCACUAUCUUUCUUUAUUUCAGCAGUCUUAUUUUGGAGAGUGAGAGCCUUUUGCUAAACAAUUAGUACUUCGAGACCCUUUCUGGUGUACUCCACAUCACUCUGAGAUCUACCAAUUCCUAAUGUACCUUCAGGCUACGCCUGCCUCUGUAAAAAGCUGGUAAGAAUGCUAAAGGUCAGAACCCUACUUUAGAGACAUGUGCCUGCUGUGCUUGGCUUAGAGCUGUAUAUGGCUCCCCAUAUUGGCCAUUGGUCUGAUCAAGCAAGUUCUUCUUAUGUUCUUAUGCACUGUCUCCUUUUGUGGCCUCUAGGUGUUUUUUCUCCCUCUUCUCUGCAUUUCUAUGGGAGUGAAGGCCACCUGGCACUUACUGUGGUUGUGGGACUGCUUAAGGUUAUACUUAACUUUAGUAAUUUGAACCCCUGGCCUCAAAGGCACAGCCUGAUAUCAAAUCCUCUUCUGUGUGGUGUGUGCUGUCCCUCAGACUGUCAUAUGUGAGCCCUAAGUCAGAGCCCUGUUGACCUGCAUUUGGAGAGGACACCUUAGUGUCAAAAUCACUGUCCAAGGGGACCGGGCACUGGGAUAUUAAAAGUAUCAUUGGAAAUUACAUCAUUUCAAUGAGCUGAAAAUACCAUCUGACUUUGAUUUCUUUGUACAUAAAUCACAGAAAGAGGGAAGAUAUUACUGAUUGUUCCCACUCCUAUAAAGGUAAACUGAAAUAAUAGUUUGAUACAUUGAUUUUUUUAUUCAAGAAUCCUCUUUUAAACAACUGGACAUACUAGCUUGUUCAAUAAAAAUCUGGAUACCAUUUAAGAUUCAAAAGUUGUUUUAGCAUGCUCAAAAUCAGCACAUCAUGGCUAUUCAUUACUAUUCCAAAAUGAUCCUCACUGAAACUCAGCACAGAAUUCAGUUACAUUGAACACACAUUUCAUUCAUCUGCUUCCAUUUUAUAAACUGAGAAACUUCAUCCACAUAUUGAAUUUAUUGUAUCCAUCAUACAUGCAGUGCAGUAUCAUAAUGCUGAGUGCAAAAAUGAAAUGAGUGGGUGGAUGAACCUAUAGGAUUCAGUUACAUAAGUUUAAAAGGGAAAGCAGUUAAAAAAGAGGGCUGGUGAGGGGUACUCUUGAGAGAGACUUUGUGUCCUCCGCCCCCAUGAACAGAAUAUCUUGUAAUAUAUGAGUGGUGGUGUGAGUAUUGUCCUAAUAUUGGAGAAAAGAUAUAAAGCAAGCCAAAAAGAGAGAAGCCCCAUGCACAUGAUCCCAUACCAUCAAUGAAAAGGGAACAGUAACAGUCGUGUACACACUUCCAUAGAAGUCAGCUGCAGUGGCAGUUAAAUAAGCAAAGGGAAAGGGCACAAGCCUCUCACAACAUCUGUCCUUCUGUUUUCCAUAAGUAUUAUUGCAGCCUUCUGCUUUGCUUCAGAAGUGAAUAAGGAAUGUUAACUGAAAUUAAAUUCAAUAAAGAUUUCUUUUCUAAGAGAAAGAAAUAGUGUCUCCUAUUUGCCUCUCUUCAGUCUUACAAAAGUCCCCAUAAUUGAUAUGGGGUUAAAUGAGCAGAACUUGCUAAAGCACUACCCUUUAUUCCUGAAUACAUCUAUAGCACCUUGGAUUCAGGGUAUGCUUUGCUAUUUUCAUCCCUUGAGCCAAAGACCAGCUACACGAUGGUCUCAGGGUUGAAGGAGGGUAAGAAAGCACCCAUACCCUCAAAUCCAUGCUGAGGCCAACUUCCCCGUGUUCCCUUACCCAAUGGGUGAGAAAUACAUGAAGGAAAAGGAGGGGGAAAAUAUAAACUGUCUGAACUCCCUCACCUCUAUGGAUUUCUCAGAACACCUUCUUUGUAGGGCUAAAUGAAUUGGCUUUCUUAAUCCCAUUAUCCUGAUCUUUUUGCACAAUUCUUUAUACAUGAUUUUUAAAAAAUAAAUAUUUUAGUCUCAUUUCUUUUGUACCAUUAGAUAUAUGUGGCAGAGCCUUGAAUCUGUACCCAUUGUACCUAAAACUGCCUCCCCAAUAUUGUUAAGCACUCCUCAUUUAGUUAAGUUGGAUCCAUCUUUAAAUAGCAGUCUCAACAGAAGAAGAAAUAUUAAAUUUAAUAAAUAAAUAAAUAAAUAAAUGCUUGUGUCUUCAUUUUGUGUUUUUGUGUUGUAAACCGCCCUCUGAUCACGUAAUUAAGGACAGUAUAUAGAUUUAAUAAAUACAUAAUAUAAAAACAAACAAACAAAGAUAGUUUCACUGAGAAUUAUUUUAUCAAAGGUCAACAGGUGUGAAAUGAAUUUGCUGUUAACUGUUGUGGCAAAACUUGCUUUUAAGAUAUGAUUAUUUACCCUUCCAAAAGCUCACAGAGGAGUCAUCAGUCUAAUGGUACAUGGGCAUAAUUUAGGCAUUAAGAUUUAUGACAGAAUUGGAUUAACAAAUGUGUAUUGAUUUCUUUAAAGAAGUUUUAUUUCCAUAGCUCUUUGAAACCCCUGAUGUUUGAGAGCUUGCCCUUUUAUAAAAAAGGUUUUAAAAACUAAUUUCAUCUGCUGAAUUCCUGAUAAGGAACUCCUACACUACAAUAGUUGCCCGGAAACGGAAAAAUCAUUUCCACUCUUUCUGUUCCUUUCUGUUCUGUGUUAUUUUCAAGGAUGCAACUAGAGUGGCAUUAACAAUUGUGUUCACAAAUGAGAAUAGAUUAUUUUCAGUGAGUACUGUUUUCUGUCACUUCAAAAGUGCUCGUGUUUGGGAACUUGCCCUUUUAAAAUAUAUUUCUUUAUACUUAAAAAAAUCCAUAAGAUGAUCCUUUUCACUAAAUAACAUUUCCUAUGUUUUAUUAUUGAGCACAGCUGAAACCAAAGCUCUCCCAAUAUUUAAGUUAUAUUUAUAUACAGUUCCCAAAAGUUCAUUGUGUACACUUGAAACUGAGAAAUUCUCACGACUGUUGAACGCAGUACAGAAGUUGUAGGAGGAAGGAUAUUGUCGUAGCUCUAUAGGAGAGUGAAUGGUGCUUAAAAGUAAAGGCUUCCCAUUGGGCUCCAUUUCCAUCUCAUUUCAACUCUAUUUCAGCAUGAAAAGGAAAAAUAUCAAAACCUUGGGUGGUGGGAAUACUGUGGGUGAGUGUCCCACUGAGCACAUAACAGAGAUGCAGAAACUUUGCAUGUUUUCUAGGGGCAUUUUUCCAUUAACAAGCACAUUCCAUCUUUUCCCCCCCGAACAGUGGUGGCCAAAACAGCAAUCAAGUAAUUAUUACACCUGCAGAAUUUUUGGUAAGAAACACCUUAGCCACACAAUUUUCCAGAAAACAGUUCUGUUCAUUGAUGUUCUUGUGCUUGCUUUGUUUUAUUUCAAGCAUCCUGUUCUUAAGGGUGAAGUUAGCAGUAAUUAGUUUAAAACCACCGAGUCUCACAUGAUCAUAUCAAACAUUAUUAUUUGUAAAAUCACCACAUCUUUUUAACUGAUUUGAAGAUGUAACUGGAAAUCACAUUAAUUAUCUAGACUGUACUUUGGAUAAUGAGAAUGCCUACAUCAUAAUUUCAUCAAACUAAAUAUAUUUUGGGAGCUGUUGUUAUAUCAACAACUUUGUAAGAAUAUCGACAGUGAAUAUUUUGUUGGUCAUUCUACCUUAUUUAUCUAUAAAAGUGUGGAAGGAAACCAAAUGAGCUGGAUUAUUUCAAGGUCCACCAAUCCAGCACCCUAUUUCCAACAGUGGCAAAGACUCUGGAACACCCAGCGAGAUAGCAUGCUGAGAAAACCCUCUCCUGACAUUUGCCUGUUUGUGACGACUAUUCAGAGAUACACUGUUUUAAAACAUGAGGUUUCCAUUUAGGCACCAUUAUUAAUACAUGCUCUUAGAAGUAUCCCUUUGGAUUUUUUCUUAUCUUUUUCAAAACCAUCUCAGGCGGUUACCAUCACCUCAUCUUGUAGUAGCAAAUUCUGUAAGUGAAUUAUGUAUAGUAUAAAGAACUGCCAUCUAUUAAUAAUAAUAAUAAUAAUAAUAAUAAUUUUUUAUUUAUACCCCGCCCUCCCCAGCCAAGGCCGGGCUCAGAGCGGCUUACAAGCAAUAAUAAAAACAAGUUGAAUGAUUACAACUUAAAAACAAAAUUAAAAUACAACAUUAAAAUAUUACAACAUU